AAAGCGUGCGCAGGCGGUUAUGUAAGACAGAUGUGAAAUCCCCGGGCUCAACCUGGGAACUGCAUUUGUGACUGCAUAGCUAGAGUACGGUAGAGGGGGAUGGAAUUCCGCGUGUAGCAGUGAAAUGCGUAGAUAUGCGGAGGAACACCGAUGGCGAAGGCAAUCCCCUGGACCUGUACUGACGCUCAUGCACGAAAGCGUGGGGAGCAAACAGGAUUAGAUACCCGGGU
rnacentral:rRNA from 1 species